rnacentral:lncRNA from 1 species
CUGUUUUGCAGGGGACUCUGUAUCUGCUGUGGUCAUUCUUUCCUGGAUUCACAUUCCCACAGGCAGUCUCCAGAGAGUUUGGUGUUCUCUGCCAAUUGACAGGAUCUAGUCGCUUGCUUCUGGGAGACCGGAGGUAGAUAUCUUCUGGACUGUGAUGUGAAACGACCAACUUGAGAAGUCCCAUUUCAUUUUGAUAUCAGGUCGGCCCAGAGUAGAGCUGAGGAAAUGGAGAUGCCAGUUUCUCUCGGAGCCCAGCAUCCCUCUAUGCCAUGCAGCAGGCAUCUCUCUGUGUGGAUGGACUUCAAGCUCCUUGGCUGGGCUUUUUCUCCCAAGGAUGCCAGCCCCUCUUUCCACACAUUCUUGGGAAGACCCCUGCCCUUACAAGGCAAGUGAGAC